rnacentral:rRNA from 1 species
AACGAACGCUGGCGGCGCGUCUUAAGCAUGCAAGUCGGACGGCAAGGGGAGCUUGCUCCCCCUAGAGUGGCGGACUGGUGAGUAACGCGUGGGUGACCUACCCUCGAGAUGGGGAUAGCCAUUAGAAAUAGUGGAUAAUACCGAAUACGCUCAUGACCCUGUGGGGAUAUGAGGAAAGCAGGCUACGGCCUGGCUCGAGGAUGGGCCCGCGUCCCAUUAGCUAGUUGGUGAGGUAAUGGCCCACCAAGGCGACGAUGGGUAUCCGGCCUGAGAGGGUGUACGGACACAUUGGGACUGAGAUACGGCCCAAACUCCUACGGGAGGCAGCAGCUAAGAAUAUUCCGCAAUGGACGAAAGUCUGACGGAGCGACGCCGCGUGGAUGAGGAAGGCCGAAAGGUUGUAAAAUCCUUUUGCCAAUGAAGAAUAAGUGUGGUAGGGAAUGACCGCAUGAUGAC